rnacentral:rRNA from 1 species
GCUGAAAGACGGUUUCGGCUGUCACUUACAGAUGGGCCCGCGGCGCAUUAGCUAGUUGGUGAGGUAACGGCUCACCAAGGCCACGAUGCGUAGCCGACCUGAGAGGGUGAUCGGCCACACUGGGACUGAGACACGGCCCAGACUCCUACGGGAGGCAGCAGUAGGGAAUCUUCCGCAAUGGACGAAAGUCUGACGGAGCAACGCCGCGUGAGCGAUGAAGGCCUUCGGGUCGUAAAGCUCUGUUGUUAGGGAAGAACAAGUAUCGGAGUAACUGCCGGUACCUUGACGGUACCUAACCAGAAAGCCACGGCUAACUACGUGCCAGCAGCCGCGGUAAUACGUAGGUGGCAAGCGUUGUCCGGAAUUAUUGGGCGUAAAGCGCGCGCAGGUGGUUCCUUAAGUCUGAUGUGAAAGCCCACGGCUCAACCGUGGAGGGUCAUUGGAAACUGGGGAACUUGAGUGCAGAAGAGGAAAGUGGAAUUCCACGUGUAGCGGUGAAAUGCGUAGAGAUGUGGAGGAACACCAGUGGCGAAGGCGACUUUCUGGUCUGUAACUGACACUGAGGCGCGAAAGCGUGGGGAGCGAACAGGAUUAGAUACCCUGGUAGUCCACGC